GGCGCUUCUUUGCGCUUCUUUGCGCCUCCUGGCCCCGGCCUGGCGUCCGUGGGGCGCUGUGAGUCUCCGAGAACGAAGCAGCCUCCCAGGCGUGCGGCCUCCGGGUUCGUGUGCUCCGAGCCCGAGGACCGUUUGCGGCCGCCGUCCCGUCCUGGAGCAGGAGUGAGGAGGCGCCUCUCACUUUCCUGCGAACCCGCAGAACACGCGGCCGGCGCUGGGGAGACCGGCGGAGCUUCCCGCUCCUUCACCAAGUGGCCCUGACGCGCAGUUGAAAGCGUGGAUUUUGCCGGGCGCGGCGGCUACGUCCGGAGUCCCAGCGCCUUGGGAGGCGAGGCGGGAGGAUCCCCACGGCCCGGGAGCUCGAGACCAGCCUGGGCAGAUAUUUUGAAAGUCAUGAGCGGGACGGAAGGUGGGACCGGGAGAGCUGUUCUCGGGCAGGUGGACGCUGUGGAUUAGCGGAGAGGGAAGGCACUUUUGUUCUCGACACCGUGAGGCUGUCCUGGUCAAUCCUGUUUUCAUGCUUGAGGGUCUCUGGUGCAGCAGCUCCACCAGCCUUGACACCAGGACUUCUAUGGAAUCCAGGCGUCUUCUUAAGGAAGGAAGCCUGAAGGAAGUGUCCGCGUGAACACGAGAGGCCUCAGAUACAGAAGCACAAGCCGUGCAUGAAAACACCAAAAGACUCACUGCAGGGAGCAAAGGCAGCCAGGCCCUGCCAAACCAGAGGGGGCCCUGGCACCGGCGGCCACAGAGCGCUGGGGGAGGCAUCGCACCCAAGGGCACACACGCAGGAAAACCGGG